UGAGGAAUAUUGGUCAAUGGGCGAGAGCCUGAACCAGCCAAGUAGCGUGCAGGAAGACGGCCCCUAUGGGUUGUAAACUGCUUUUAUACGGGAUGAAAGUUAAGGGUAGCGUGUCCUUUUCUUGCAGGUACCGUAUGAAUAAGGACCGGCUAAUUCCGUGCCAGCAGCCGCGGUAAUACGGAAGGUCCUGGCGUUAUCCGGAUUUAUUGGGUUUAAAGGAGCGUAGGCCGGAGAUUAAGCGUGUUGUGAAAUGUAGGAGCUCAACUUCUGCACUGCAGCGCGAACUGGUUUCCUUGAGUACGUAGGAAGUUGGCGGAAUUCGUGGUGUAGCGGUGAAAUGCUUAGAUAUCACGAAGAACUCCGAUUUUGCGAAGGCAGCUGACUGUAUCGUAACUGACGCUGAAGCUCGAAAGUGUGGGUAUCGAACA
rnacentral:rRNA from 1 species